rnacentral:lncRNA from 1 species
UAAAGAGCCAGAUGUGGACAUGGGUGCAGACAGUUGUUUGUUUCUGUGUGCAAUUUUUUCUUUGCAAAACAGUAAAUUGUAAUAGUAUUUGCUCCUGGGAAAAGGGGUGGCUGAUCUGCUGUGGCCAUGUCCAUGAUCUUAUCUGAGUGUAUGAGGAAAUGCCUUUCUUAACAGGUGUAAUACAGGCACCAUGGAGGCAACUCUUCUUUAAGCAACACAGGAGGAAGCAAAAGUAUCAACUGGAACAGUAAUCAUCUGAUUAAGAACAGCAGGAAGAGUGCCAUCGAGCUGGUCCCUGAAGUACGCACGGCUCCAGAGCCUAACUGUUCAGGUUAAUUAAAGCCAUUAGAUGAGAAAUGAGGAAUUACUUUUGGAGUUCUUUCCUCUGCAUAUCCUACACUGGUCUUCUCAUAAAGAGCACAGCAGAGACCUGCAGUGUGUAACAGCCCUGCACAGACCCAGCUGCUGGCCCUGUGAAGAUGGACACACAUCUGGAAUAUCACACACCACGAGGAGCAUUUUCCAAUCCAACAGAGGAUGGAACAGGCACUCCACAACCAAGCCCACGCGCAGGGCGCUGCACCAAGACACAAGCAAGGCAAGCAAGAAAAGGUGGAAAGGGACAAGUCCUUUGUGAAAUGAUGUGUAUUGGGUCAGUGCUGAUUUCUUAGCAGAGAACUUCCAGCUCCCUUCACUGGCUCAGCAGUGCUGGCGUGCUAUGGAGGGUGGAGCUGCAGCACCAUUCCCUCCCAGCUCGGCGAGGGAAGAGGAGAAACAGGCCGGCCACAUCUGCUCUUCCCUUGUGCAGUGUCUGGCAGCCUGCAAAUCCCAUGCAGGGGAGAAAGAGGGCUCCUUGCCAUCACCAGGCUCAACAGCUGGGCCCAGCAUGUAAGAUGAAGCACAUGCAAAUCUUUGCAGGAAUUCCUUGCUGCUCAGCCUGAGGGUUUGAUCUUGGAGUCAAGGAAAUCUAGCUCAGGACCUUGCAUGAAAGAAGCAGUGCCUGCCCAAAGGUUCCAGUGGUCAGCAUUAGCAGUGAUAACAGAAGGAAUCACACUAAAAUGAGGGGGGAAAAAAGAAAAAAAAGCUAAACAAAACUUGUGUUUCUUUCUUUAUAAUUUUUCAAAAAAAAGAAAACAAGUGUAAUAAAUCUCUGAACAGCCAAACUGCCCUUGUUUCU